AAGUCGUAACAAGGUUUCCGUAGGUGAACCUGCGGAAGGAUCAUUAACGAAGAACUCACACUUCUUCUCAUACACCUGUGAACCGUCGUCUUCGGACGCUCAUCGUCUUCGGACGGCAUACAUACUCUUGUGUUGUCAUUGCAUGUCAUUGUUUUCGAACAAAAAUAUAUAACUUUCAGCAACGGAUCUCUUGGCUCUC
rnacentral:misc_RNA from 1 species